AAAGUCGUAACAAGGUAACCGUAGGUGAACCUGCGGUUGGAUCAUUACUGAAUGUAUCCGGCUUUGGCCGUUUCCCCAGUCCUUUAUUGGUCUUGGGGAAAACCAUCCCACCUUUUGUGAACUGUCAUUUUGUUCUGACGGUGAAGUCUGGCGCAAGUCAGAUCAGCUGUCAAACACAUGUUUUAACAUUUUUCUAUUUAUAUCUGUCUUACAUUUUAGUAUUUAAAUAUACAAACAACUUUUGGCAACGGAUCUCUUGGCUCUC
rnacentral:misc_RNA from 1 species